rnacentral:rRNA from 1 species
GGCUAAGCGGGGCCAGCGGGGAGGGUAAAACGGUGUGUCCAAGGGGUAUCCGGAAUCAUUUGGUUUAAAGGGGCCGUAGGCGGGCGUAUAAGUCAAUGGUGAAAGCCCAUCGCUCAACGAUGGAACUGCCAUUGAGACUGUAAGACUUGAAUGCUUAGGAAGUAACUAGAAUAUGUAGUGUAGCGGUGAAAUGCUUAGAUAUUACAUGGAAUACCAAUUGCGAAGGCAGGUUACUACUAAGUGAUUGACGCGGAUGGACGAAAGCGUGGGGAGCGAACAGGAUUAGAUACCCGGGUAGUC